rnacentral:rRNA from 1 species
UGCCAGCAGCCGCGGUAAUACGGAGGGCGCAAGCGUUACUCGGAAUCACUGGGCGUAAAGAGCGUGUAGGCGGGUUAACAAGUUUGAGGUGAAAUCCAAUGGCUCAACCAUUGAACUGCUUUGAAAACUGUUAACCUAGAAUAUGGGAGAGGUAGAUGGAAUUUCUGGUGUAGGGGUAAAAUCCGUAGAGAUCAGAAGGAAUACCGAUUGCGAAGGCGAUCUACUGGAACAUUAUUGACGCUGAGACGCGACGGCGUGGGGAGAGAACAGGAUUAGAUA